rnacentral:lncRNA from 1 species
UGUGUGUGGAUUGUAGGGUCCCAUGGCAUUCUUCAAUGACUUGUGAAGACUACCAAAAUCUCCCUUUGGAGGAGAGGGAUGCUGGUGACAUAACUUUGCAUCGCCUGGCACAAAAUAAGAGAUGGAGGCGCUGUUCACAGUGCAGGAGGAUGAUUGAGCUCACACACGGAUGCUAUCAUAUGACAUGCUGGUAAUAUAUUUUGUUCCUUUUAACUUUUUAAUGCAAGAUUCAGGAUCCUAUAUUGGCUUCUGAAUCAGUGAGAAUAGUACCUUGAUAUUCUGAACCUGUUAGCUACAUCUUUAUGUUUUCAUAUCAUGUACUUGUAGAUCCUUAUCUGAUUAAUAUUUCCUGAAAACUGAUGUUGAGAUUUUGGAACAUAAGCUCUAAGUCCCAAAUACUCAUUAUUAGACAAAAGCACUAUUAAACUCAGGAGCUUGGAAACCGAGGAUUCUUCUAAGUACGUGGAAAUGAAGUGUUGGUUCUCCAGGAAUGAUCGACUAUAUCUGAUACAAAGAGAACUAUCUUUCCUCUUUAUAUUCCGUUACCGUCCUGCAUGAGAAUCAUCGAGGAGUAUUGGUUCUUUCCUUUUACACUAUCAGAAAAUAAGUUCUUUUUUAGCACUUCAUGUAGGGAAGUUCUUUUAACAUAUAUAUUGCUUCUUGCAUUUUAUCUGCACCUCAUCUAAUUGCCUAUAUGUUGUAAAAGCGAAAAUCAAAGUUUUCUUAUUGGGAGAUUCUGGAAUAGGAUGGCUGGUAUUGCUGGUAGUGCUAAUAAAUGUACUGGUUUAUCAACCCCUGAAUGGUGAACCUACACAAUCUAAAUAGUGUUGGAGGUAUCUGCUUAUUCACUGGUGUUAAUUUUCCCAUACCCGUACAUUGUAAACUAUGAAAGCUUAUUCUUUAAUAACACAGUAUGAUAUUGAAUCUUUAGUUGUCUUGUUGGAAAAAAAAAUGUACAUACAUAUGUACUGUAUGUGUAUAUGUACAUAUACACACACAUAUAUAUGUAGAAGAAUAUUUAGUGGUUAGUAGGUCUAUCAUCUCUCUAUUAACUUUUUAUUACCCUCAAAAGGCUUGACAGACAAAUUGACUCAAUGUGCUAUUAACGUUAAGCGACCAGACCACCCUUUUCUUUGAGAUUUGGAGUGUCCCAGAUAGCAAAUAAAACAUUAUGUAAAUGAGGCUUAGGAUGCUCACCGGUCAUUUUGGAGUUAUCCGAUAAUGGGAGAGGGGAGUGAGACUCUCCUCAGCUAGAAGCUGAUCUGAAAUAGCUGAAGGCACGGACUACUGCCUGAGUACACUGGGUGAGAAGCUUGGAGUUCGAAGAAGAUGUUCCCUCUAUGUGCAUUAUAGCUCAAUCAUGAUUAAAUAAACACUCUGAUAGCUUGAUGCAAAGCUUAUUAUCCGGUGAUAAAACUACUGGGCUUUGGAAAGCUUCUGAUGGUUAUCUGCACCAGAAAAAGCAGGAAGCAUCUAGUCAACAAGUGUCCUUAGGUGUUCCAACAUCAGUGUUUAUUAUAGUAUUUUGACAGUCUAUAAGCAUACCUACACAGUCUAUAAGCAUACCUACAUACUCUUUUACAAAACUUGCAUUUGUUAAGCAUAUGAGCAAGGAUUGCUCUAUUGAAAGAAUAGAUUUUCAAUGGAUUGACUGGCUGCAAGUGUUGUCAGUGUCUGCUGUUAUUAAGGAGCCUUCAAGAAUCAAUUGACCAAUUUGAUGGAAAGGUUAUCUUAGGGCAAGAUUAUCUUUUGUGAUUUUGGGUGAUGGAUUACAUUUAUGUUCGUGUGAUCAUAAGUUAAUGAUAAGCUUUUAGUGUAUCCUUAAAGCUUUAGUGGAUAAACUGAUGUCCUAAUAUAGUUGGCAAUAUAACUUCUACAUUAGUAUCUGAGCUUGAGUGUGCCCCAAUCUUUGAAAAUAAGUUGUCUCAGAACCAAUAGUUUCUAGCUAUCAAGUGUUUCUGGGUUCCAAGUAUCAUAUCUUGUUUCUAUAUGAGUCUGACUUGCUGUAUUUGUCCCUUUCCAAAUGGUUGGAGUUCUCGAACACUGUUCAAAUUACUACCUCGUACUCUACUGCUACUGAUGCUACUGCUUCUUUCUCCUUCAUCUACUGUUACGUUGCAGGUAGGCAGGCUUUUUAAAAGUAAGUACCCAAGCAGGCCAAUGGUGAAGGUUUAUAGUUAGUGAUUUAAAUAUUAUAUGAAUAAUGGGCAGGGAGUUAACUGAAACGAAAAAAUAGCUACUUGUAUCAGAAAAAUGGGGUAGAAGAGCAAUAAGUUUAUAGCAGUGUCAGAGCAGGGUACAUACAGAAUAAAAAAACGAGAACCUACAAAGGGAAUCUACAGAAAAUAAAUAAAGAAAAGUGAUUCAUGUCUUGCCAAAAGAACUUUUUAAAGUGAGUUGGGUGGUAGUUUGAGGACCAAACCUAAUAACUUGGUGUGUAGAAUUACAUUGAAGUAAGUUGGGCUCUAAUAGUUGGCCUAUUAUUGCUUUUGAAAACAGCAUUUGCUUGACUGGAUACAAAGGAGAGAACAGUUAAAUCACAACUGAUAUAGCUUGACCUGUUUAUUCAUAAUUGAUUUUUUCUUGAACUAUUUAUGAUGUCUUCCACAGCACUAACUUGGAAAGGGACAUUGUUUUAGAUAGUUGGGAAAGUUUACAUCAAAUACUCUGAUGCUCUAAAUGGAGCUAGAAAGCUUAUUCUCAAGAAAAAUCAACCUUCUAUGACUUCUACAGAUCUUUCUUUUAGGUUGCAUAUUUCAUAUUUGUGAGUGUAUUAGUAAGGCUGUCUGCUACGAUUGCAGUCUUGCAGAGGAAAAUUGCAUUCCGAUUGGAUAAUCUAUCUGAGCAUCAGAUGAACAUCUGUAGGAAUGUAAAAUUGAAGAUAAGCUGCCCAAAUGCAUAUGCUGCCCUUUUAUGUCUUUGGAACUUGUUCAGUAUAUACACUGCUGAAAUCGAAGUUGGUGGAUUGAUGAUUUUAAGCAUUGACAGUUUUUUGUGUUUUGUAUUAAAAACUGGCAGGUGUGGGCAUCAAUUCUGUUAUUCUUGUGGUGCGGAAUACAGGGACGGCCAACAGACGUGUCAAUGUGCAUUCUGGGAUGAGGAUUACACUCAAGAUUUGGUAACUCAACCGACACAACAGUUUGAGCAAUGGUCGUGGGACUCAUUUGAGUCGCUGCCUACUAUGAUGGAUGCAUAUUCAGAUGAAGAGAGAUCUCAGCUGGCAUUGAUCCAGAGAUUUCUCGCUGGUGGAUUCAGUCUCACAGACCAUCAAGCGUAUCAUCAAUCCCCACCACGUUGUACAGAUUCUUACGUCGAUGCCAUGAAGGAUCUCCAUCAGCUUCCAUGGCUCGAACGAUUCGUGUCUGUGAUCAGUGACAAUUACUAUGAAGAACACAUCCAGUGAAGUAUAGAUAGAUUUGAAGCCAUUUAGCAUUCAAAUGGGAGAUAAAUGAGUAUCUCACUCUCAAGACUCCUUUGAUAGUUUAAGCAAAU